rnacentral:rRNA from 1 species
AUUGAACGCUGGCGGCAGGCCUAACACAUGCAAGUCGAGCGGAUGAAGGGAGCUUGCUCCUGGAUUCAGCGGCGGACGGGUGAGUAAUGCCUAGGAAUCUGCCUGGUAGUGGGGGAUAACGUCCGGAAACGGGCGCUAAUACCGCAUACGUCCUGAGGGAGAAAGUGGGGGAUCUUCGGACCUCACGCUAUCAGAUGAGCCUAGGUCGGAUUAGCUAGUUGGUGGGGUAAAGGCCUACCAAGGCGACGAUCCGUAACUGGUCUGAGAGGAUGAUCAGUCACACUGGAACUGGGACACGGUCCUGACUCCUACGGGAGGCAGCAGUGGGGAAUAUUGGACAAUGGGCGAAAGCCUGAUCCAGCCAUGCCGCGUGUGUGAAGAAGGUCUUCGGAUUGUAAAGCACUUUAAGUUGGGAGGAAGGGCAGUAAGUUAAUACCUUGCUGUUUUGACGUUACCAACAGAAUAAGCACCGGCUAACUUCGUG